UCCCAACACAGAAUGUUCGCCAAAGCCCACUUUGCCAUAACAUGUCUAGAACGUAGAGCCCUGACUCUCCAAAGGCCGGCAGAGAGAUUGAAAGAUCUCCCAGUCUUGCCCUGCAUACAAAUACUAUACACAGGUCAAAUCCUCAUCAUCAUCCUGAAGAUUUUUUUUCUGAAUACUGUAUAUCUAUGCAUGCUAUGUUUCCCUUUUCAUCAAUCAUUUUGUUAACGAAUGCUGUCUACAGUUAAUAGUUAU